UUAGAUACCCUAUUAUUUUGAAUUGAAAUAUAGAGUCGCUAAWUUGGUAWUAGUUAAUUACUUAAAAGUUAAAAGAUUGGGCGGGGAUUUAUUCUUUCCAGAGGAACUUGUUUCUUAAUCGAUAACCCACGUAAAUUCUUACUUGUCCUUGUAAGGUAWUCAGUUUGUAUCCCAUCAUUAUCRGGUAAUUUUAAAAGAAAUAACUACUAGGUAAGAAUUAAUUAUAAAAAUUAGACCAUGGUGCGGCGUUGGGAUAAGUUGAAAUGAGUACCAAUAAAUUAUUUUACCGGAAGUUAUAAAGGAAGCUUUAUAAUGAAGGCGGAUUUGGUUGUAUUGUAAAUUUAAUAAGUUUGUGAGACAUAGGUUCUAAAUCAUGUACACAUCGCCCGUCGCUC
rnacentral:rRNA from 1 species